rnacentral:rRNA from 1 species
GAACGCUGGCGGCGUGCUUAACACAUGCAAGUCGAACGGAAAGGCCCCUUUGGGGGUACUCGAGUGGCGAACGGGUGAGUAACACGUGAGUAACCUGCCCUUGACUUCGGGAUAACUUCAGGAAACUGGGGCUAAUACCGGAUAGGAAUCCUUGCUGCAUGGUGGGGGUUGGAAAGCUUCGGCGGUUUUGGAUGGACUCGCGGCUUAUCAGCUUGUUGGUGGGGUAGUGGCUUACCAAGGCUUUGACGGGUAGCCGGCCUAAGAGGGCGACCGGCCACAUUGGGACUGAGAUACGGCCCAGACUCCUACGGGAGGCAGCAGUGGGGAAUAUUGCACAAUGGGCGGAAGCCUGAUGCAGCAACGCCGCGUGCGGGAUGACGGCCUUCGGGUUGUAAACCGCUUUCAGCAGGGGCGAAGCUUGUGGUGACGGUACCUGCAGAAGAAGCACCGGCUAACUACGUG